AUGAAUUGUGUAAGUUGUAACUGCUGGGGGCUUGGGAACCCCCAGGCAGUUCGUGAGCUUCGCAGUGUUGUGAAGCAGGAAGGUCCUGCUUUCCUCUUUGUUACUGAAACAAAGAUUGGAGGCAAAUGUGUUGAGAGUUUGAAGCAAACCCUUGGUUUUGCAGGAAGUUUUGCAGUGGACAGUGAUGGCCUAAGCGGAGGAAUAGGUUUUUCUGAUCCAAAGAUUUUAUAG
rnacentral:rRNA from 1 species